rnacentral:rRNA from 1 species
UGGGGAAUUUUGGACAAUGGGCGAAAGCCUGAUCCAGCCAUGCCGCGUGAGUGAAGAAGGCCUUCGGGUUGUAAAGCUCUUUUAGUCGGAAAGAAAGAGUUGCAAUGAAUAAUUGUGAUUUAUGACGGUACCGACAGAAAAAGCACCGGCUAACUACGUGCCAGCAGCCGCGGUAAUACGUAGGGUGCGAGCGUUAAUCGGAAUUACUGGGCGUAAAGGGUGCGCAGGCGGUCUUGCAAGUCAGAUGUGAAAGCCCCGGGCUUAACCUGGGAAUUGCGUUUGAAACUACAAGGCUAGAGUGCAGCAGAGGGGAGUGGAAUUCCAUGUGUAGCAGUGAAAUGCGUAGAGAUGUGGAAGAACACCGAUGGCGAAGGCAGCUCCCUGGGUUGACACUGACGCUCAUGCACGAAAGCGUGGGGAGCAAAAG